AGAACGAACGCUGGCGGCAGGCCUCAAACAUGCAAGUCUAGGGGGUGUAGCAAUACAUCACCGGCGGACGGGUGCGUAACACGUGGGAAUAUACCUUUUGGUUCGGAACAACGCAGGGAAACUUGCGCUAAUACCGAAUGUGUCCUUACGGAGAAAGAUUUAUCGCCAAAGGAUUAGCCCGCGUCCGAUUAGCUAGUUGGUGAGGUAAUGGCUCACCAAGGCUCCGAUCGGUAGCUGUUCUGAGAGGAAGAUCAGCCACACUGGGACUGAGACACGGCCCAGACUCCUACGGGAGGCAGCAGUUGGGAAUCUUGGACAAUGGGGGAAACCCUGAUCCAGCCAUGCCGCGUGAGUGAUGAAGGCCUUCGGGUUGUAAAACUCUUUCGACGGGGACGAUAAUGACGGUACCCGUAGAGAAGCUCCGGCUAACUUCGUGCCAGCAGCCGC
rnacentral:rRNA from 1 species